rnacentral:rRNA from 1 species
ACGGGGGGUGCAAGCGUUAUUCGGAAUUAUUGGGCGUAAAGGGUGCGUAGGCGGUUUUGUAAGUCAGAUGUGAAAUACCGGGGCUUAACUUCGGAACUGCAUUUGAUACUGCAAGACUUGAGUAUGGGAGAGGGAAGCGGAAUUCCUGGUGUAGAGGUGAAAUUCGUAGAUAUCAGGAGGAACACCGGUGGCGAAGGCGGCUUCCUGGACCAAUACUGACGCUGAGGCACGAAGGCGUGGGGAGCAAACAG